GUUGAAUUGAGUUUAAUCCUAUUGUCCAGUGUGUGCGUGUGUGUAUGCACCGAGUUCAAAAAAUACCUGUUAGUUUAUAUGGGGGAGAAAAAGAAGAAGAUUCCAAUGAAAAAAUGUUUUUCUACCAUGAGUAGCAUGUAGAAUACCUCAACAUAAUAAUUGACAUGUUUCCAGCAUUAUACAUAUAACUUCUGAAUUCAAUUGAGAUUCCACAUUAUUGAGGUAAAACCAGAAUCCUUUCUUCCCCCAAACCAAGCUGAAAGCCAUUCAAGUAAGUAUUCUCCUUUAGUUUGUUUUGUUGUUAAGAAAGAUGAUACAUAUGCAUUAUCUUAACAUCUACUUUUCCUAAUAUGAUCAAAUAGGAAUCAGAUUUCUGAGUUCACAAUAUAAUUUUGAGGAAUUAUAUCUGAUAAAUAGAAAUUUGGUUGAAUUUCUAAGAUAUAUUUCUUUUGCAAGGAUAUUUUAGAAAUGUCAUUGCCUUCAAGCUUCUCAUUGCAUUCCAGAAUAGUUAAAAACUACUCAUUCAUUAUUAACAUGAUGCUUAUUUUCCU
rnacentral:misc_RNA from 1 species